rnacentral:lncRNA from 1 species
AUGGUGCAUCCGUCCAUUGCUGAGCUCCACUUGCAGCCUGAGGAAAACUUUAUACCGAAGAUGGUUGCUGGGUACCUGAUAGAUGAUGAUGUUGAAGAAGAAGAGGAAGAAGAUGAUGAUAUUGAGGAAGGUGAUGAUGGUGAUGUUGAAAAAGAUGAUGCUGAUAUUGAAGAUGCUGCUGCUGCUGAUGAUGUUGAGAGUGAGGAUGUUGAGGUACGUAGUUACCUUAAUUGAGAUAGUAACAGACUCUUUUUAAAAGAGCCUAGUAUUGUACAUGCCCUUAUAAGUGCUGGGAUGCAUUUUAGAAACUCUGUCAGCAACAUUGAUAGUUCAGGGACUUCCUUGGUGGUUCAAUGGUUAAGACUCCAAGCUUCCAAUGCAGGGUGUGGGGCACAGAUUUAAUCCUGGGUUGGGGAAUUAAGGUUCUGCAUGCUGCAAGAUGUGGGCAAAUAAUAAUAAUAAUGAUAGUUCAUAUAAGCUACCUCCAGAAAGCAACUUUGAGAGUGUCCAGAAUUGAUACAUGAGUGAACAGGUGGGUUGUAUACGUGUGUUAUAAACCAAAAUCAAAGAAAAAUGAAAGAUUAAGCUCAUUAGGUAUUUAAGAGCAACCAGCAUGCGCUAAAUAUUAAAAUCUUUGGUGUCUUGUUUUACUUAAUCCUUAUAAGAACUCAGCAAAGGAGGUGCUAUUUUUAUUCUUGUUUUACAGAAGCAGAAACUGAGGUUUAGAAAGAUUAAGAAACCUGCCUGAGGUCAUGCCACUAUUAAGCAGUGAACCCAGAAUUUAAACCCAGUCAUCAUAACUACAACAUCAUCAACUCCUAACCACUUUCAACAGAGACUUGGUGUUUGCUUUUCAGCAAAAGAAAAUUACAAAGCAAGUCAUUGCUGUCUUGCCUUCUGAUCACUCAAGUCAUCACUAAGUUUCCCAUCACCACCUCAGUCAAUCUUUGUUUAUUGUGCAGCUGGGUCAGAACAUGCAGCCAUACUUGUGAAAUUACAGCAUGUUGUUUUAGCUAUGAAUAUGACAUUGCAAAAUUAAGAUUUGGUGUUAUGAUCUUUCAGGGAGCUAAUGAUGGAUGUGAGAUGAAUCACAAGUGCAUCAUGGCAGAAAAUCAAGAAUGCUACCUGGAAAUCAGUGCAGGAACUCUGCCACUAAUGGGCAGUGUGACCCCAUCAAAUCAUAUAGCUUCUCUGGGACUCAUUUUCCUCAAUGACAACAUGAGAGCAUUCGAGUAAUUAUGUCCAAGGUCUCUUCAAGUUAUAACAUAUGAGGAAAUGGGCCUUAUUACUUUCAUGCCAUUGUUCUUAUUAAUGUGCAAACACCCUUCAUUUUGAGACCUCGACUAACAAGUAUAAUUUGAUAUAGCUGGAAAACAGGCAAAUGGCUCUACCUAGUAAGUUUUCCUUUUUCAUAGACGGCCUAGGAUUUGCCAUUUGGAGAAGGUCUGGGGAGGCCUGGACGUUUGCCAAUUCUCCUGAAAAAGGGUUGCAAUGUGGUUAUGCCAAGAACGCUGCAUGUUGAUCUGGACUCAAUACUGUGUCUCUUGUUAUUGUCUGCUCCUGCCAACUGCUGCUUUCUGCUCCAGCUGUUUGGAAGCCAGACCUGGCACUCUGAGGUCUGCUUUGGCAUGCUGUGUGCGUGUGUAUGUGCCAGUGUGUCUGUAGACACAGUGUGACGUGAUGAAAAGAAGCAAAGGCAGCAGCCAUGUGUGGACUUUUAUCUUCUUCACUUGCUCACUGCAGAGCCGAAUUCUAAAUGUACUUCUCCCCAUGUGACCCAGACCUGUCUUAGUCCCUUCCCAACACCUUUGGCUAUGUUGAGACCACAAAACAACCAGUGAUGACAAAGCAAAGCAACUGUAGUCUGGUCAGUGGUCUCACUAGGCUGGUGGCGCAGCACAUGUAACAGUAGAAAUCUCUCCAUGUCCAUAGAACUAUAUGGGCAUCUUCUGUCUUUGGCUCUUUUGUAUUUUGUCUCUUUGGUGAGCCACAAGGAUUGAGACAUUCAUGGUUUUACCAGUAUACCUGUGGCUCCAUCUCAGGUUGGGUGGCAUCUGAGUGUUUUCAUGGGCAAUGCUUCCGUGUAUUUGGGCAGAGCCCAGUAACAGGGCCAGUUUGGAGCAUGUGUGGAGGAGCUGCUUGUAGAUUAGUGAUCCAAGUCACUCAAUGAUCAGCCUGUCUUCCGGUUGCUGCUGCAGGCUGAUCAGCAACAGGGAAGAUGGACUUUAUAGCCCAUGGCUUUUCAGUGGGCAACUGAAACAGGGAUGGCCUCGGGUAGUCAAAGAGAGAAAUAGGUAUGAGCAAUAAUAUGACCCAUUAAACUGUGAGGUAGGUUAGGCUUUUUUCCUAUUUUUAAAAAUCAUUUUCUAUCUAUUCCCUUUUGCUUUUUUUUUUUUUUAUACCUCUGUAGGAAUAGAUUGAAGGCAGAAGGAGAAGAGGGCAAAGGAGGAUGAGAUGGUUGGAUGGCAUCACUGGUUCAAUGGACGUGAACUUGGGCAAACUCCAGGAGAUAGUAAGGGACAGGGAAGCCUGGAGCGCUGCAGCAGACCAUGGGGUCUCAAAGAGUUGGACAUGACUUGGAGAUGGAACAACAAUCUUGGUACCACCUUAUAAACUCUCAGACUGCCUAGUUACCUGGAUGGUUGUUUGAGCAAAGUUGUACUAGCAAUCCUUUCUUUCAGUCGCUGUGCCCAGGUGGCCAUUGGAAACACGUGACAAGAAAGAAAGAGACAAAAUACAGGAGACAAAAUCCAGAAGAGCGGAAGGUAGAAAACGCCCACAGAGUUCUAUGGAUUGCAGAGACUUAUACUAUUAUAUAUGCUGGGCCACCAGCUUGGUAAGACCACUGACCAGCCUACACACGAGUUGGAUACCCAACUCCUGCCCUCAGAGAACUUACCUUUUAACAAGGACGACUCGAACUGACCACAGUGAAGUGUGUUAAGCUUUACCGGAGGGGAUACCAGGAAGUAAAUAAGAACAUAGUGGGAUUGUGAGUAGAGCUUUUACCUGGUUCUAUUGGUCACUUAGCAAUGCUCUGGGCGUUAAGAAGUGUACGUAACAUGCAGGAAAUACAGAGCUGCCUCCAGAGACUUCACAGUCUGGCUGAGGAGACCACAUUCACACAAGAAACAGAACUACAGAGGGCCGGAGUGGGAGGUGCCACUUCUCCACGGCGUUUCACAGACUCAGUGUUUGGGAUGCCUAUAGUAGUCAAGUUGCAAUAUCUGGGAUUUGGUUUACCCCUUUGAUUCUAAAAUAUAAAAUGGAACUUGUGGGGCUGUGUAACUAGUUCGGACUUGUAUCAUUUUAGAACUUAACUUUUUUAUAGGUGUGCAGCAUUUCUUAACUACACAUUAGGUUCCUUGAGGGCAGAAAUCAUUAAUUUUACUGCACUGUGUUUCUUGUAAUCUCCAGCCCAUUUCUGUCUACACAGUAGGCACUCACUGAAUAUCCAUGAAGUAAGUACAGGACACGAUAAUUUCUUAUUGUUUUAGUGCAAUUCCAGAGUGUAAGAAAGAUAAGAGGCCACCAUUGCCCAGAGAGUUGGAAGUUCUAGAUCCAUCUCUUGCUGUUCUGAUGAUGUUUGUUUCUACAGAUAUACUGCAUGCAUUCACGACCUUCCUUCACCCCAUCUAGAAUGAGGCCCCGUGACUGUAACUCCUUCUGCUUGUAACAUUUUCCGUAGCAGGGCAAUCUCUUAAGCGUUUGAGGGGAUGGAGAACGACAGCAGACAGAUGGGCCCAUUGACGAUGUGUCCCCUUGUGGUACAUCUGUCACAACUGAAUUAUUCUGUCAUUUGUGCUGUCACCAAGUCAGGCUGAUCCAAGGAGUGGAAGGAAGCGCAUUUCUAGUGACUCUUAAUCACAGAGGGAAAUGGCUCUGUGACACGUGUGUUUUCUGACAGCGACUGGCUUUAUUAUUUUCUAAGGGUAGAGAGAAGUGCAUGAUGUAUCAGCAUAUGAAUAAGUGACCUGCUAUGAUGGUGACAAUGAAACCCCGAGUUGGGUUUCAUUUUGUUUAACUGGUAUCUCUCUCUUAUUUUGGCCCGCCUACAUUUAAGGAGCCGAGUCUCAGGAGUUGUACUGGAUCCCAGGCUUCUCUGGCUAGCUAUGUGACCUUCAUGUUACAGGCACUUUCCUCUAUCUGUACUUAGGAACUUCACCUGCCUACCUCCAUCUAACCCUAAGAGUGGGGCAAUAUACUGCCCGUGACCAAAAUGUAUCCACCCUACAUGGUCAGGUCAUCCUUUGAGGACAGUUUCCCUAGGAUUCCAUGACACUCGUGAGCUCAAGGACCCUCUUGGAGGAAAGAGCUCCCAUAGCUGUACUUCUGUCAUCAGAUUUGCCUGUUAUGUAAGCCUCUGGCACUUGACUGGAAAAUUGCCUUUUGGGAUUCCAACCCCAGAGACUGUGAUGGCCUUGAGAAAUGGGGGAUGGAAUGCAUUAGGGCAGUUUUUAAGUCAAUUCCAGAAAAAGUGAUUUACUAGACAUAUUUAGAACCACAUUUUAUUUUUAAACUGGCGAAAUACAGUUGUUUUCCCAUUGUUCAUUGCACUUCACAUUUUGCUAAAAUUUUUCUAAAUGAUCUGAAUAAUUUCAUUUGACUAAUUUUUAACCCUGAAUAUUCAUUGGAAGGACUGAUGCUGAAACUGAAGCUCCAAUGCUUCACUGGAAAAAACCCUGAUGCUGGGAAAGACUGAAGGAAAUAGGAGAAAGGAAUGGCAGAGGAUGAGUUGGUUAGAUAUCAUCACUGACUCAAUGGACAUGAGUUUGAGCAAACUCGGGGAAAUAAUGAAGGACAAGGAACCCUGGUGUCCUGCAGUUCAUGGGGUCACAAAGAGUCCGACACAACUUAGCGACUGAAGAACAACAAUUUUCAACAAAUAGACUUGCUGUGAGUUGUCAAGGUGAUGUUGCCAGCGCAUGAAAGCUGUUUUGUUCAUUAAUUCAAUAAAUAUUUAAGUACUUACCA